GCUGGGCAUAGUGGCGCAUGCCUGUAAUCCCACUACCCGGAAGGCUGAGGCAGUAGGAUCACUUGAGCCCAGGAGAGAGAGGUUGCAGUGAGCCGAGAUUGUGCCACUGCACUCCAGCCUGGGCAACACAGUGAGACUCUGUCUCAA
rfam:Gorilla gorilla gorilla genomic chromosome, chr7, whole genome shotgun sequence